AGGUCCUAAAAAAAAUGCACACAAAAAUUACCUCAUCAAAACAGCUAUACUCAAAAGUCAAAUAUUAGAAUUUACAUAUUUUCCCUUCUGACUGCAAGACAGCUGCCUGAAUAACUUAACCGUUUAAUAUAUUAAAAAAUAGUUUACAGAAAUGCCCUAUAUUUAAAAUUUUGAACACAAAAUAAACUUUAGUUUUAAAUAUAGGUAAGAUAACAUGACGGGAAUGCAGAAAAUAAAUGCUAUACUGGUCACAUCUAGCAUUUAAAAUGUUUCCUUAUUUGGGUAUAGUAAGACACAAUAAUAUCCCCUUUUCCAUUGCCACUCAAAAGCCCAAGACUUCUCAAAUGCCCCCCACCCCGACAUGUACCGGGUAAGUCAAUGCUAGUUCCAGCUUUCCAUGGAAAGCUGGAACUAGCAUUGACUUACUAGCAUUGACUUACCAGAGCCUUACCAGGGCCUCGACACGAUAUAAUAUAUAAAUAUUAUAUACACGAUAAGCGAUGUAUAGAAAGCAUUAAAAUUAUGCAUGUUUCAGCUGGCUAUGUAAAGUCAGAGGAUUCCUGGAUCAAUGUGUGGUUGUGUGCUUUUUAUGUCUCUGCUCAGUCUUCUCUAACCCCCAGUCGGUCAAGGCAGAUGACCGUUCACAUUGACCCUGGUUCUGGGAUGCUCAGUAUGAAGGAUUGCUGCAAAGCAAUCGACAAUGCAGUCUGUUCACUGUAACAGAGUGAUUUGUGGCUAAGGGUCUUGCUCAGAGACCCAUAGUGGCAGUCUGUGAGGAUUGAACUGAGUACCACUGAACAACACCAUUAACCCUAGACUGCUCCCCUGGCAUUGUUUAACCAAAAAAAAAAAAAAAAAAAUCUCCCCAUUUUGUAUUUUUAGAUCAUAUCCCUGUGGACCCGAUUCCUAUCUAGAAACCCCUGAUCUAACUCGUCAUCAGAACAGUUCAGGAUUGGACUGAAGAGACACCUGUUCAGCUUUAUAUGAUUGUUUAGAACAGGGAUUCCCAAAGUGUGGUGCGCAAGCUGCCGCUAGGGGGUGCACGUAGUAAAAAAUGUAAUGGUGGUAAUUUUAACCAUCGCGUGGAGGAAAACUCGAGAUAGCUAGGGGGUGCACGAAGUAAAAAAUGUAAUGGUGGUCUGACAGGGUUUUUUUCCCACACCAUUAAGACAUAAAUAAACAUUUCCUAUGUAAAAAUUAAAAUCAAAAACUAAAUUUAACAAAUAAAAUGUAUUGACAUGAAAAUCUAUUUAGAAAAAGUCUUCUACACCUCAUUUUAAGAUGAAAUACAGAGGAAGUUAUCUUCUUCUACGCAUUGUACUGUAUAUGCACACCUAGCUUGUGCCCUCUACUUCAUUCAUUCUUGCAAAUAUGCUCAAUUGGCUAGAACCAGGGAAACUAUCAGGCAUGUCAGACGUCUUAUGUUAGUGAUGAAGGAAGAGAUGAAUCAACAGAGUAAGGAAUCCGAGGCAACAGACGAGAGAAUUGCAAUGGAUCUGGGAAAAGACAAUGAGUGGGAAUCACAAAAUUUCCAUCUAUCCUUGCUUCACGUCAUUUACGUCUGUAGAGGGAAAAUUUAAUUUGGGCCGAAAGUUUUUAUUUGCAAGAUUAGAUUGAGUGACAGUCUCUCUUUCGAUCGCGUUGCGCCUACAAACAGCGCUGCCCAUGGUGCUGUGACUCUGAAUCACUACAAGCACUGAUGCCCAUGACACGCCCAGACUGCUGCUGCCAGAGCUGCAAUACUUCUCAUUGUGAUUCAGACAGGUCCAGUUCUUUUUAAAGAGGCAGUUUUAGCAUGUUCUAACAGGAACAGAGAAACCGGCAACCGGUGGUGGGGCUGCGGGGAGCUGAGUGUGUUUCCAUGGCCGUGUCUACCUGCUGAAUGUAACCGCUGUGAAAGUUUUUAUUUCUCUGAUGUAAUAACAGCUUUAAGGAUUACUCUGCUAUUGUUACUCUGUACUGCUCUACCAAAGUGUUCUCUCUCGCUCGCUGGUAUCGGACACAAAUCAAAUUAAAUGUCUUUGUGUUUAUAUUUUGCGGUGUAAAUUGAAUCACUCAGAUUUAGAAGCUGGUACAGGAAAUUAAGAAAGUGAGAACACCUGCCGGUAGAUCAGAGUUUAAUACGUAAUUCCACCUGGAUGGCCGCUUCAGUGAUGUUUCAGGUUGUGGAGGUGUGACCGAUCGGAGCGCCUCUUUCGUCUCUUUCUCUCACUCCAGGCAGAACCACCGAUGCACCUUGUCAAAAUACCUCUAAAAUCGGUGGUGUGGUGAGCUCAACCAUAUUCUCUAUCAUUAACAAAUUAAGAAUUAAUUUGGACAUUAAAUGUCUUAAGUUAAGAAAGCAACAUAGAGAGCUCUGUAAUUGUAUGUUUUAACUGAUUGUGGUUUCAGUGUUGAAUUAUAUGAUUGUCUGAUUGUUUUUCUCUUUCUAAAAAGGAUCAAGUACUUAUUGUCAGGACUCAGUCGGCAGGGCCGUGCAGCUUGCUGCUGGCUCUGCUGCCUCCGCUCUCUCCACAGGUGUUCGUGGUUAACGGGUGGGCGGAGUGCACACACCUGCAGACACUUCAGCAGCACCGGGCCGCACUAUAAGAACCGUGCUCGAACAGAGGGAGGAUGCCAGAGUGUUACCUUGUCGCGUGCACUCGUGUCUUUGGAACCCUUCUCUCGUGUGACUCUGCGCUGUGAAGACCAGGCUCCCGAAUCCACAACCGCUCAGAUUCUGCUCUGGCGAUCCCCUCCUCAAACUCCCUUGGCGGUACCAAGUUGGGCGCGAGUUUCCCCUCCCCGGAUUCACCCUGGUCACCCCGGACUCUCCUGGUUCCUUCCUCUGUUCAUUCCGGAUCCCUGGACCCGCCAGUGCUGCUCGGACCCCAUCCGCCUCCGCCCACAGUUCUCCUGGACGCCUGUCACCCAUCCGUAGGCCGGGCUGAGUCCACACCCCUUCCUCCUCGGUUCGGUUCCCGUGCUCUGUGACUGACCCGAUCACCAGGCUUUGGUUCCCCGCUGCUCCCCGAUCUGCGGUGACAGAUCUUCCUCGUGACCCCGUGGUUCAGUUAAAUAAAACUCUUGUGAUCUGACCUGUUUUCCCUGAGUGGUUCUGCAUGUGGGCCAAACAUUUAAAGCCAAACAUGACACUUAUGUAUUAAAUAAAUAAGCAAUAAGUGUCUUAGUGCAGACAGGAUGAGUAGAAAAUAGA